GUCAGUAAGACCGGUGUGACACAAUGGCAGGCAAACCAGAAGUGGUUUACAAUGUCCUUCAGCCAUGAAACACUGCUGACAUAGAAGUGCUCCACCAGUUAAUUUUGAUGUACUGUGCAAAGAGGUUUGCAUAUACACCGCCUGUGUACAGAAUCGGCAACCUAUUGGCAGCUAUCGACAACAGCUACCACAGCAACAGUCCUCUGAAAACCAACAAAGAUGGAAAAAUAAGGUAUCACAGAUGCUAAAACAAAAAAAGCAAGCGCUGGUCAGUCUUUCCAGAAAAAGUAGCCAAUACCUAUGGCUAUGUUCCAGAGAUGGCAGAAAUGCUGUACAAAACAAGGGCUGUUUGUAAAACAUGCAUGCCCCCCAUAUGGGCUGUCCAAUGUAGUGGCAGCCAUUGUGGGAAUACGUUUUUUGUCACUGUGACCUUUGACCUAGUGACCUGAAAAUCAAUAGGGGUCAUCUGCGAUUCAUGAUCAAUGUACCUAUGAAGUGUCAUGAUCCUAGGCAAAAGCGUUCUUGAGUUAUCAUCCGGAAGCAAUUUUACUGUUUCGGGUAACAGUGACCUUGACCUUUGACCUGAAAAUCAAUAUGGGUCAUCUGCAAGUCAUGAUCAAUGUACCUAUGAAGUUUCAUGAUCCUAGGCGUAAGCGUUCUUGAGUAAUCAUCCGGAAACCAUUUAACUAUUUCGGGUCACCGUGACCUUGACCUUUGACCAAGUGACCUCAAAAUCAAUAGGGGUCAUCUGCGAGUCAUGAUUUAUCUACCCAUGAAGUUUCAUGAUCCUAGGCAUAUGCGUUCUCCAGUUAUCAUCCGAAAACCAUCUUACUAUUUCGGGUCACCAUGACCUUGACCUUUGACCUAGUGACCUCAAAAUCAAUAGGGGUCAUCUGCGAAUCAUGAUCAAUCUACCCAUGAAGUUUCAUGAUCCUAGGCAAAUGCGUUCUUGAGUUAUCAUCCGAAAACCAUUUUACUAUUUCGGGUCACUGUGACCUUUGACCUAGUGACCUCAAAAUCAAUAGGGGUCAUCUGCGAGUCAUGAUCAAUCUACCUAUGAAGUUUCAUAAUCCUAGGAGUAUGCGUUCUUGAGUUAUCAUCUGAAAAUCAUUUUACUUUUUCGGGUCACUGUGACCUUGACUUUUGACCUUGUGACCUCAAAAUCAAUAGGGGUCAUCUGCGAGUCAUGAUCAAUCUACCUAUGAAGUUUCAUGAUCCUAGGCGUAUGCGUUCUUGAGUUAUCAUCCGCAAACCAUUUUACUAUUUCGGGUCACCAUGACCUUGACCUUUGACCUAGUGACCUCAAAAUCAAUAGGGGUCAUCUGUGAGUCAUGAUCUAUCUAACGAUGAAGUUUCAUAAUCCUAGUUGUAUGUGUUCUUGAGUUAUCAUCCGGAAACCAUUUUACUAUUUCGGGUCACCGUGACCUUGACCUUUGACGUAGUGACCUCAAAAUCUAUAGGGGUCAUCUGCAAGUCAUGAUCAAUCUACCUAUGAAGUUUCUUGAUCCUAGGAGUAUGCGUUCUUGAGUUAUCAUCCGGAAACCAUUUUACUAUUUCGGGUCACCGUAACCUUGACCUAGUGGUCUCAAAAUCAAUAGGGGUCAUCUGCGAGUCAUGAUCAAUGUACGUAUGAAGUUUCAUGAUCCUAGCCCCAAGCGUUUUUGAGUUAUCACCUGGAAACCACCUGGUGGACGGACUGACCGACAGACCGACCGACAUGUGCAAAGCAAUAUACCCCCUCUUUUUUUUUUUUUUUUUUUAUUCAAUAUCAUACAUACA